rnacentral:rRNA from 1 species
UACGGGGGGGCAAGCGUUGUUCGGAAUUACUGGGCGUAAAGGGCGCGUAGGCGGCCUACUAAGUCGGACGUGAAAUCCCUCGGCUCAACCGGGGAACUGCGUCUGAUACUGGGUGGCUUGAAUCCGGGAGAGGGAUGCGGAAUUCCAGGUGUAGCGGUGAAAUGACGUAGAUAUUAGGAGGAACACCAAUGGCGAAGGCAGCUCGCUGGAACGGUACUGGACGCUGAGGCGCGAAAGCGUGGGGAGCGAAC